UACGGGGGGAGCAAGCGUUGUUCGGAUUUACUGGGCGUAAAGGGCGCGUAGGCGGUCAGCACAAGUCAGUUGUGAAAUCUCCGGGCUUAACUCGGAAAGGUCAACUGAUACUGUGCGACUAGAGUGCGGAAGGGGCAACUGGAAUUCUCGGUGUAGCGGUGAAAUGCGUAGAUACUGGGAGGAACACCAGUGGCGAAGGCGGCUACCUGGACCGGUUCUGACGCUGAGGCGCGAAAGCGUGGGUAGCAAACAGG
rnacentral:rRNA from 1 species